GACGAACGCUGGCGGCGUGCUUAACACAUGCAAGUCGAACGGAAAGGCCCUGCUUUUGUGGGGUGCUCGAGUGGCGAACGGGUGAGUAACACGUGAGUAACCUGCCCUUGACUUUGGGAUAACUUCAGGAAACUGGGGCUAAUACCGGAUAGGAGCUCCUGCUGCAUGGUGGGGGUUGGAAAGUUUCGGCGGUUGGGGAUGGACUCGCGGCUUAUCAGCUUGUUGGUGGGGUAGUGGCUUACCAAGGCUUUGACGGGUAGCCGGCCUGAGAGGGUGACCGGCCACAUGAGGACUGAGAGACGGACCAGACUCCAACAGGAGGCAGCAGUGGGGAAUAUUGCACAAUGGGCGGGAGCCUGAGGCAGCAACGCCGCGUGCGGGAUGACGGCCUUCGGGUUGUAAACCGCUUUAGCCUGUGACGAAGCGUGAGUGACGGUAAUGGGUAAAGAAGCACCGGCUAACUACGUG
rnacentral:rRNA from 1 species